UACGGGGGGGGCAAGCGUUGUUCGGAAUUACUGGGCGUAAAGGGCUCGUAGGCGGCCAACUAAGUCAGACGUGAAAUCCCUCGGCUUAACCGGGGAACUGCGUCUGAUACUGGAUGGCUUGAGAUUGGGAGAGGGAUGCGGAAUUCCAGGUGUAGCGGUGAAAUGCGUAGAUAUCUGGAGGAACACCGGUGGCGAAGGCGGCAUCCUGGACCAACACUGACGCUGAGGAGCGAAAGCCAGGGGAGCGAACAGG
rnacentral:rRNA from 1 species